UGGGGGAUAUUGCACAAUGGGCGAAAGCCUGAUGCAGCGACGCCGCGUGGGGGAUGAAGGCCUUCGGGUUGUAAACUACUUUUGCUCUGAACAAGGCAUGCUAAUGGGUGUGUUGAGUGUAGGGGUUGAUUAGCGCCGGCUAACUACGUGCCAGCAGCCGCGGUAAUACGUAGGGCGCGAGCGUUGUCCGGAAUUAUUGGGCGUAAAGGGCUUGUAGGUGGCUGGUUGCGUCUGUCGUGAAAGCUCAUGGCUUAACUGUGGGUUUGCGGUGGGUACGGGCUGGCUUGAGUGCAGUAGGGGAGGCUGGAAUUCCUGGUGUAGCGGUGGAAUGCGCAGAUAUCAGGAGGAAUACCGGUGGCGAAGGCGGGUCUCUGGGCUGUUACUGACACUGAGGAGCGAAAGAAUGGGGAGCGAACAGG
rnacentral:rRNA from 1 species